rnacentral:rRNA from 1 species
AGAGUUUGAUCAUGGCUCAGAAUCAACGCUGGCGGCGUGCCUAACACAUGCAAGUCGAACGAGAAAGUGGAGCAAUCCAUGAGUAAGGUGGCGCACGGGUGAGUAACACGUGACUAACCUACCCUUGAGUGGGGGAUAACCUAGGGAAACCUGGGCUAAUACCGCAUAACACCUACGGGUCAAAGGAGCAAUUCGCUUAAGGAGGGGGUCGCGGCAGAUUAGUUAGUUGGCGGGGUAAUGGCCCACCAAGACAGUGAUCUGUAUCCGGCCUGAGAGGGCGCACGGACACACUGGAACUGAAACACGGUCCAGACUCCUACGGGAGGCAGCAGUGGGGAAUUUUGCGCAAUGGGGGAAACCCUGACGCAGCAACGCCGCGUGGAGGAUGAAGUCCCUUGGGACGUAAACUCCUUUCGACCGGGACGAUUAUGACGGUACCGGAAGAAGAAGCCCCGGCUAACUUCGUGCCAGCAGCCGCGGUAAUACGAGGGGGGCGAGCGUUGUUCGGAAUUAUUGGGCGUAAAGGGUGCGUAGGCGGUUCGGUAAGUUUUGUGUGAAAUCUUCGGGCUUAACUCGAAGCCUGCACAAGAUACUGCCGGGCUAGAGUGUGGGAGAGGUGAGUGGAAUUUCCGGUGUAGCGGUGAAAUGCGUAGAUAUCGGAAGGAACACCUGUGGCGAAAGCGGCUCACUGGACCACAACUGACGCUGAUGCACGAAAGCUAGGGGAGCAAACAGGAUUAGAUACCCCCGUAGUCC